UCUAGAGUAGUUUUUAUCUGUAUUGGUACGGAAUGCUCUCAGAACAUUUAAUUUUAGAUUGUAGAAUUAUGUAACCUCUAAGCAUAAAUAAUCCUCAUGGAUUUUUCUUCUUCUAGUUGUUUAUUGACCUGGGAAAAGGUACAGGGAGUGGUUGCUUUGAAGUGGAGUGAGGUAACACAGCACAUUACAGUGAAGUACUUUGAACUUCACACAAGGAGUUUUAUAAAAUCAGCAUCCCGAUAAUGUUCAGCUCCCCAUUAAUGGUUUUAAAGACCUGCUUUAUUGUUCAUAUAUAUAAUCACAACAUAUACAAUAAUAUAGUCAAAUCUCCUUAAAUCAUUAUUAUCUAAUUCAAAUUGCAAGGAAACCAAGUCCUCAGAAGUAUAAAAAUUCCUUAAAUUAGUAGUCAUUGGACAUUUUGAAGGAUUUUUCCAGGACUGUUUGGAUAUAUGAUAAGUGGGGGUUUGAAACCAAAAUGCGGUUUUACUGGUCAGGUCUUUACCCAUGUAUUCAUUCACAUUGUCAGGUUUGUAGUGUCUUGUGUUUUUUAUUCAGACAAAUACUGCCUACGUUUUUGAAUACUAAUUUUAUUGAUCAACAAGUAACAGCAAAACACUUCAGUCUCUGUUCAGAGGUAACUACUGUAAGUGGUGUUACACAUUUACAGAUAUUUGUUCCAUAUUACAAGCCUGUGAUUGUUGAUGCUAUAAUCAAAGAAACAAUAGACUUAGUACAGAGUAAUUUUUUUCUUGUAUUUUGCAUUGUUCAGAAUUAUCAAAUGAAUAAGAAACUGCUUCAAAAAGGUACCAGAAUAAAAAAAGGUUGAGGUUAUGCUCUCUAUAAUUUUCCCAGUAAAACAGAUAAAAAUAGAGCCACUUGUCAUUCAUACAAUUUAUUUAAUUAAAAAACAAUUUCUACUGGAACUAAAUAAAAAAAGCUCAUAUUUAGUCCAGUGUCUUUAAACAGUUUAUCUUUACAAAACCUAAAUGUUAGGUCACUUGACUGGUUUUUAAAUGGCAAAGUCUUCCUGAAAGAUAUCUUUCACCCUUUAAAUACUGGGUUAAAUUCAGAGGUGCUGUAAUCAGUGGAAGUUUGCUUGAGAAAAAAAUGAGUCAGGAACUCAGAGCUUGACCCUUACUGAAUCUGUCUUGUAUGUUAAUACCCAACAUUAUCAUAAUUUAACAUGAAAACUAUACCAACUGUUAAUUAAGGAGCAUUUAAAACUGUAACCUGCCACUGUGAAGCCCAAUUUUGCAAACCUUUCUGCAUUUAUGUAAUGUAACUCAUAUCUGUCGGUGCUGGUAAGAGUGGACCAUAAUGUUUUGCUAAAAACAAAUAUUCAAGAAAUCUUCACGAGGCCAAGUCUCAAUGAAUGUCAUUUAAGAUUUUAAGUUACUUUUGGAAAUUUUACCCUUUAUCCCAAUUUUUGGCACAGAAUAAAAGCCACCUCUAAUUCUUUUUCACACAGUAGGUAUUAUACUGCCAUCACUUAAUAUUAUUUUAAAGUUGCUUACAGUGGUAUCACAAGUUUGAUCUGCUUAAAGUGUGGAGAAUGAAUGAGUUUUUUUUUUUCUUAUUUCAAAUAUCAGUGUGGUAAAUGUGGGUAAACAGUGAUGUAUUAAUGGUGACAAUUUGUGAGCAUAUAUCUUUCUAGGCACAGUACUUCUACACAAAAUUAAAGAUCCCAAUUCAAAUACUGAUGUCACAGUCAUAGGGUCAGCUGUGCUUUAGGCCUUUUUUAGUUCCUGUCAAGUACACAGGUUUUGCUACUCUCCCCCCUUACUGCCUUACAGUGGUAGCCUGGAUCUUUGGGCUGCAGCUUUUCUGUUUACCAGCUAUGUUAACCCAACAGGCCCAACUCUCUUCACAGUGGUGUUCUGGCACCACUGCAGCACUGUGCUACACACACACUAGCUCGAGGGCAGAGUUAGCGGGCUGAUUAUAGUGACUCAAAAACAGCAUCUUCAAACAAAGUAUGAUUUAUUCGUGGAAAGAUACACAGUAUGCAGAGUAAAGGUACACAACCAAUAAAGGUUUAUGCUCAUAUUUCUCUUUGCCUAAACCUUAAUCUUUCCUUGCAAGCUUUGGUACAUUCUGUUCAGUGCAACUACCUCCAUCUCAGGGCUGGUGAUAGAGAUCCUGUUUGCUGCAGUUUCUGUGUAUCUUCCUCAGUGUGUCUCUGUCAGCCCCUAAGACAGCCGCUGACAACCCACUCAAGUUCCCCACCCCAUCCCCUCACGCUUCUUAUCUAGACCAGCAUCAUUACGAUUUUAGUAACUGCUUGGAUCCAAGGUUUCUGGAAAGAGAACUUGCCAGCCUGGUUGGAGUCAGGGAGGGUCAUUCCCUAAUUUAUAGCUUCUGUAUUGUUUCCUUAAGGUUCCUUGGUAUCCUCUAUACUCUACCUUAUCUUUGCCAAUAUUUUGUUCCCUUCCUAACAGCCUUUUGUGAUUGAACUCCUUGCAGUCAGGCAGAAUAAUAGCAAACUGGUAAAGUGAAGUGCCUAAAAUAUUUAUUAAAAAAAUACACAUAAUUCCCUCAUUUGCCACAAUAAGCAAAAUAAAGCUAAACAUAAAACAGUUUACCAUGCCAAAAGUCCUCUGAAGUGUAAAUGAUCUGAUCAAGUACACUCACAAUAAUAGUGCUUCUUCCAUCUUUAUUCUGUUCUUUUGUUUACUUAAAUUGGGUCUUGCACUGGUUAGUCUCAACAUGUCCCUCCUCUCCUCCACAGUAAAAUUAUUUGUUCUUGCAUGCAUGUGUUAAAUUUCAAGAAAAAAAUAUUUCCUUUGUCUGUAUGUUCACAUUGUCAUAUUAAUAAUUUGCUUCCUUUCAUUGUUAUGGAUGUGUGAACUUUGAUUCUUUCUUAUAUCUUAUUAGUGCUGCCUGUUAACUCUUAGUUAACUUAGAGUUUUAUUAUUGGCCAUUCUGUCACUUUUUAAUAUUUUUUGCCCUUAAUUCUUGGCUGUUCAAUUUAUCAUACAAAGCUUCUUUAAAACCUGCAUGAAACCAGAUUUGCAGUCUCACUUUAAGUACAAUCUCUACUGCACUUGGAAAUUGCCAAGUAGUUAUUGAUAUCCAUAGAUUUCCAGUACCGAUCUUGCCAUGCAAUCACUGUAUAUGUUCUGCACUUAAAGGAAAUAAGUAGUUAGUGAGUGUCAAGAGUUUGUUAAAGAGAUGUAUUUUUUUUUAUUCCCCCCUUUUGUUUUGGAAACAACUUCCCGAGUUCUUUCUGGAGAUAUCAUAUUUGUGCUGAUUUUUGUUUGUUUCUAAAUAUGCAAAUGAAAAAGUUGUUAAGGAAGGUGGCUAAGGGAGUCUUAUCUAUAACCAGUAGCACAUUUAAUAUGCUGUAUAUGCAUUUCACUUACUAAUAUUAGUCAUGUUAUGUAACAAUUACACAUUAGAUUGACUAAGAAUAGCCACCUCUUUCAAAAUUCAUUGUGUUUGAUGCAAAAACAUAUUUUAUUCAUAAAUGAUCAUUUUGUUUUCUUCCUUCUGCAUGUGCCUAUAUUGAGACAACAAUUUUCUGUGAGGAGUUCUGCUUAAAACUCUUGGCCCAGUGUAUCCCUCCUUGAUCUGUUCGGUACUAAGUGUGGUUUAGAAGAAAAAAAUAUGGUUACAGUGUAUAGUGUAUUUUAGUUAAGUACAUUUGAUUAUGUGUUUAGUGCUAGUUGUUGGAAAAGUAGAAGAACUACAGCUUUUGUCUGUUUGAGAAAGCUAAUUAAGGGCAUACUGGGAAGAGCACCCACUCUGUGAGGUUCAAACAAUAUGUUUGUGCAUCAGUUUCUGUUCAGCUUUCAUCUUCAUGUAUACAUCACACCUCUGCACAGCACUGAUCCCCUGAGGUGCACAAAUGCAGAUGAAAUAGAAGCAAGAACAGGUCCAUGAUUCAUCUUCGUCUGCAUACCAUGCACAGUCUGUGGGCACAAUAAUAUGAAAAAGUGAAAGAGAAGACUUUCUGUAGUCAGGGUGGUGGGACAACAUUUUUGGAAGGUGAUGGGUACUAACGGUAUUUCAACAUUAUUAAAACUGUUCUCUCAAAUUUGUGAAACAAUGUUAUUCUGAUUUUUAUUUAUUUUUUUUAAGUAUGAAAGUCACAAACAAAUGCUUAUAAAAGACUUUUUUGAAAAGGUGCUUGAAAAAUUCCACGUCCACUGGAAUUCUCUUGUUUCUUCCAGUAGCUCCUGAAACCUUCUGAUGUUUCUUGAUUGUUCUUAUCAUCCUAUGGUGAUUUAUCUGCAUUCUCUCAUAUCCCACUGACAGUGUUUCAGAUCAUUAUUGAAAUACAGCUUCUUAUCCUGUGCCUGCAUUCCUUAGGACAGGAUCUAUGUCAGUGUACUCGAGGGUCAACAAGCACAGGUAGUUUAUAAUGCUUUUUGCCCAGUAUGUUCCGAGUUUUGUGGACAAAAUUUUAACUUCUUACCAAUUGCCUGUGGUGAUUUUUGAGGGGAUUUCCUUAAGGUAUUGGCAGAGGACAUGAAAAGGCUUUUUUGAUGUACAGUAGAACCUCAGAGUUCUUAAUGAUAGCGGUUCUUAAUGAUAACAUCAUUUUCUCAAGCUUGGACAUCUUGAGAGGUCACUCUUGGCAUAUUCUAUUUAAAAUAUGGUUAUAUAGGGCUCUGCUGGGCUCCUCAGGCUUGUCUCCUUCUAACUAGGGUUUGGAUAUAUCCAUUGUGGUACUUUGUGGGGUUAACUGGAGUGUGUGGGGUUAAUCGCUAUCACCUACUUAUAGCGUGAAGGAGUCUUGUCUUUGCCCGCUGGGGGUACUUCUCCCGGAGCUACUGGCUGCAGGCGACACAAGCUCUGGGUUACUAUAAGCCCCUCUCUCACCCUCUGCAGGCUAGCAAUUUACACACCCUACUUUGUUACACUUGAGUGCCCAAUCCCUUUUCUUCUGGUUACCUGCAAUGCAUGCCAAUCCACUGUUUCCCUGGAAGCACCACACCCUAGUUUACCAGCCUCCCUUCAAUUCAGCACUCUUUGACACAAGCACUUGAUUGUGUCUGUAGUAAAAACCAAAUACAAGUAUAUUUAACACAGCUUAAGAUAAAGAUCCAAAAUAGUUGAAGGUGAAAGGAUUGGAAAACAAAGUUACAGAUAAAAGAAAAAAAUAUAAAAAUCAAUCUAUAGCCUGGACUUAUUGACAAAUUCCUUCCCAGUCCAGUACAGAGCUCACCCAAAGGUCAAUCCUUAGAGCAUAUGUCCAGUCCAGACAACAUUCUGUGAGAUGCUCGUGCUGAUAGACCAUCACCUCCAUAAUGGAUACUGCUGUCCCCUUUUUUCUUCUCUUAGACAGUCCAAGACUUUUGUCUCAUUUUAUAAUAAGAGCAUUAGAUUAACUUCAGCUGAGCCCUGAAUAGCGUCUCCUAUUCAGAGAGUUUCCUUGGGGUUCUUUUAUCUUCAUAAAUACUCAGGCUUGCAUGGUAUGUAAUGCAAUAUAAUGAUGGCUAACUGAGUUUUCAUAGAGCUUUGAACAAUAGCUUUAGGAAUCUUGAUGAAGAACCAAGAACACCCAGUGGUAAUAAUUAAAAAGUUAACAUUGUUAACUAUUACACUUUUGACAAAUAAUGUGAAAAAAGCGAGGAGAGAAAUAACCUUCUUAAGGCAUGUACAAUUUACUGUGAAGGAUAGUUCAGAGCAUUGCCAUGAAUGGGUGGCAUUUAGUAGAUAUUACCACUUUUCUGAUACUAUAGUUAGAAUUUGAUACUAUAGUAUUUCUGAUUUCUGUAGUAAAGAACAGAAUUAUUAGAGACAUAGAUGAACAUGAUAUGUUGGGAAGAGUCAAAACUGCUUUUGUAAAGGGAAACCCUGUCUCAUCAACCUAUUAGAAUUCUUUGGGAGAGGAGGGUCAGCAAACACUGGACAAGGGUGAUCGAGUGGAUAUAGUUUACUUGGACUUUCUGAAAGCUUUUGACAGUGUCCCUCAUCAAAGACUUUUAAGCAAAGUAAAGCAAAGUCAUGGGAUUAGAGGGGCGGUCCUCUCAUGGAUCAGUGAUCAGUUAAAAGAUAAGAAUAAACCUUUUUCACAGUUGAGAGAAGUAAAUAGUGAAUAGAUUAAGAACACAUAGCUUAACAACAAGAAGAUUAAGACUAGCAUAAGAACACAGGAAUAUGUAAUAAAUUAAAGGACAGUACAUUUAGGACAAAUAAAUGAACUACUAAUUACACUGUGUAUAGUAAAUCUUUGCAGUUGUCUGCCACAGGAGGUAAUUCAGACCCAUGCUGUAGCUGGAUUUUCAAAAGGAUAGGAUAAUUCCAUGACCACUAAAACAUGUAGCCAUGCAAGGUGAGACAACGGGGGUUGUCAAAUCUCAGAACAUAUACUGAUUAUCUGCCAGGAACAGGGAUUGAUGAUUUGCAUUUUAUGAAUUUUGAGAUUGGGAAGCUUUUCAGAUUUUGCAUCAGGGAUGUGAAGCCCAAAGCUUGUGCAGCACAAAGCUUAGAGGACCUCUAUGCAAAUCUAGCUUUCUAAAAUAUUUGUAAUGUUGUUGUAAUGUUAUGUUUAAUUGUCCAAUCACAAGAAUAAAAAUUACCACAUUUACAGUAAUAGAUACUAUAUGUUAUAAAUAUUAGAGUAGAUAUAGAUGUAGUCCUAUUAGCAAGGGAUGUCAAUUAUGAUUCUAGCGGCAUACUCAAAAUUGCUUCUGUAGAGGUGAAAUGAUUCCUCUCUCCCAGGCCCCUUUCUUGUUCUGGCAUGAGUAUGGAAAGGGUAAAAUUAACUCUUGCCCAGAAGAGCUUAUGCCAACACUAUAUGUCACUUAAUUUCCAUAGAGGGAGUUGUUCAAAACAACCCUGUGUAUCGUUUUUACCCCAUAGGAGGGAUUUGGACUCAUUCCAAAUACACCAUCAUUGAAGUAGUUUUGAGGCUGGCCAGGCUAGAAGAAUGACCAUGUAAAAAGUUGGGGUAUCAGUUUAGAGCAUUUUUUUUUAACUUGGCUUUGUUUCAAAUUAGACCAUAACCAAAGUUUUCAAAAUUUCCCUCAGAGCCUUGCCUGUGAUUUGAUGCAAGUUCAUUAAACACAAGAUGUUUUGUGUGACUCUGCAUUUUCUGAUUAAACAGAAUUUUGUAGGACCAAUUCUGACCAGCUCUAUAGGGCCAUGAGAUUCAUGACUGUAUGGAUACAGUGUCUCAAAACCCCUGAAUUGGGGCAGUAAAUCUGUAGGCUGGAGUAUCUAGGAGAAGGCUGCAUAGCAACCCCAUUACCAAGCAGAGCUGAAAUGCAGCUCUGUGCACAAAGAUUGAUGGUUUGGGAUUCGUGUA